AAACGCAAAUGCACACAUUUUACACCGUCCGUCCGUAGUAUAAUAUGAUAUAAGUAAAUAAUAGACACACAGACAUGUUAAACGUAUAACAUCCACCUUAUUGCAUCAAAGUCGCAAGUAAAAUUUUGCUCAGACUUAGAAUAAAGAUUGUAAAUUUUUGAACGCAGCCCAAUACGUUACUCUGUGAACGUACACAGGUUAGAAUUUUAGUUGUCAAGUCAAUGUCAAGUGUCAAACCGACCGAGUAAAUUUCAGCGCAAGGGCACAUGCCGUAUAAAUUUUAAUUUAUUUCAUAUGUAAACAAUUUAAAACCGUAAAGCUGAAACCGUAUACCUAAUGUAAUUAACAGGAAAAUGUAUAUCAGUACACAAUAAGUUAUAUACACAUAGCCUACAAUGUAAAAAUUCUUCUGCUGAGGGGGGAGAAUGUAACGAGCCGUUACAAACCAACCGCCCAACACACCUACCCUCACACCGCAGCCACGAGAGCGCCCGGCGUGUGCGAGACGAGGCGGGGCACCACACAGACGACUCCGGAGAAUACAAGGGGCGCGGGGCGACCCGCCUAUAAAUAGCCGCCGGACCGCCGCUAGAGCACCAUUCGCCACCUCCUAUUCCGACGAGUGAUCAUUCCGUUCCCGAGAUCCCUCCCCGCACCCAUAUCUAUUCAAGUAAUCUAUUCACGCACACUAAUCUCACAUCACCGGUCUCCCCGCGAGGUAGGUUGCUCAACGGACCGAGGCCUCUCGGUUAUACGGAUGCCUGGGUUGCCUAGUUGAAAGCAUCCGUAUACCCGACUAGACCCGACACAGUGGGCUGCCUAAUUAGCGGAGCGAGGUCCCCCGGAUACGUACAUGGAUGCCUGGGUUGCCUAGUUGAAAGCAUCUGUGUAAGUACCGAACUAUACAAUCACCGGACACACACCAGCCUUCAGCCACACUCUUGUCGACACAAAUACACUCCACAAAUCCUGGAACAAGUCCACACGCACCACCGGUAUUCGCCCGACCUCCUGUACCCUAUAUCCUUCCCCUUAUUAA